UUCCUGGUGGCUCAGAUGGUAAAGAAUCAGCCUGCCAUGCUGGAGACCCAGGUUUGAUCCCUGGGUCAGGACU
rnacentral:tRNA from 1 species